GGAGGAAGGCUGCUGGACAGAAGACUGUUAUUGUUUUCAGAUACGCUUUUAUCUCAAUAACGAGCUAUCAAUGUGCCCACUGAUGCCCAGAUAGACACCCGCUCUUUCCUGAGUGAGGAAAUGAUUGCUGAGUUCAAGGCUGCUUUCGACACUGAUGGUGGUGGUGAUAUCAGCACCAAGGAGUUAUGAGGAUGCUGGGUCAGAAUCCAACCAGAGAGGAGCUGGAUGCUAUCAUUGAAGUAGUAGAUGAAGAUGAGUUUCUUAAAAUGAUGGAGAACGUCCAGUAAGAAAAAAAUACAUUCCAUCUUCUGCAACCCAUAAUGACAGCAGCCAAGACUCUCAAAAACAACCCAUGCUGAGAGCUUUAAAAGAAAAGAGGAUCGAGGAAACACAACAUCAACAGGGUUCAAAUCGCUAACAAUAAAGAUGGUUGGAAUUCACUUUGAGGGACAGAGAAUAUUAUAGAUCAGUGCCGUCUUGUUGGAAAUGUUCCUCUGGAACUGUGAUGGUGUCUAUAAAUAUCCCUUCAAACCUUUUAAGAGGAAACCACUCACGCCUCUCCCCUCAGCUGUCUUCUACUACACCAGCUUAUUCCCAAUACAUUCACCAACCUUCCUUCAACCCCCUUCCCCUCUCCCUCACCCUUUACAGUGAUUCAAAAUAACUCUGCUACAGUAUUAGCCUUGGGGAAAGACUUGAUGUUGUCAUGGCGAUAAGGAAUCUCUUUAGCUUACGGUAUUGGUGUCUGCAAAUCAAUUAAAAAGGCACAUCU